UGUCAUUAAAAACCCCCUUUCAACCUCUUGA
rnacentral:piRNA from 1 species